rnacentral:rRNA from 1 species
UCGAGGAUUUUUCACAAUGGGCGAAAGCCUGAUGGAGCGACGCCGCGUGGGGGAUGACGAGCUUCGGCUUGUAAACCCCUGUCACUUGGGAACAAACGUUUCGGUCUAACACACCGAGACCUGAUAGUACCAGGAGAGGAAGGCACGGCUAACUCUGUGCCAGCAGCCGCGGUAAUACAGAGGUGCCAAGCGUUGUUCGGAUUUACUGGGCGUAAAGGGUGCGUAGGCGGGUGAAUAAGUCAGUGGUAAAAUCCUACAGCUUAACUGUAGACCCACCAUUGAGACUGUUCAUCUUGAGUGCAAGAAAGAAGAUUGGAAUUCCCAGUGUAGCGGUGAAAUGCGUAGAGAUUGGGAAGAACACCAGUAGCGAAGGCGGAUCUUUGGCUUGUAACUGACGCUGAUGCACGAAAGCGCGGGGAGCAUACA